rnacentral:tRNA from 1 species
GGCAAUAGCUCAGUUGGUAGAGCGCGACCUUGCCAAGGUCGAGGUCGCGGGUUCGAAUCCCGUUUGCC